GGCACUUUGGCGGAGUGGUUAUGUGAGUACCAUCACUGCUAAGCCAGUUCCUUCGGGAGCGUGAGUUCGAAUCUCACAGGUGUCG
rnacentral:tRNA from 1 species